rnacentral:rRNA from 1 species
UACGUAGGGUCCGAGCGUUGUCCGGAAUUACUGGGCGUAAAGAGCUCGUAGGUGGUUUGUCGCGUUGUUCGUGAAAACUCACAGCUUAACUGUGGGCGUGCGGGCGAUACGGGCAGACUGGAGUACUGCAGGGGAGACUGGAAUUCCUGGUGUAGCGGUGGAAUGCGCAGAUAUCAGGAGGAACACCGGCGGCGAAGGCGGGUCUCUGGGCAGUAACUGACGCUGAGGAGCGAAAGCGUGGGGAGCGAACAGG